UACAGAGGUCUCAAGCGUUGUUCGGAUUCAUUGGGCGUAAAGGGUGCGUAGGCGGCGCGGUAAGUCGGGUGUGAAAUCUUGGAGCUUAACUCCGAAACUGCAUUCGAUACUGCGGUGCUUGAGGACUGGAGAGGAGACUGGAAUUCAUGGUGUAGCAGUGAAAUGCGUAGAGAUCAUGAGGAAGACCAGUGGCGAAGGCGGGUCUCUGGACAGUUCCUGACACUGAGGCACGAAGGCCAGGGAGCAAACGGG
rnacentral:rRNA from 1 species